rnacentral:lncRNA from 1 species
GCCAUGUUUAAAACUGUGCCGUAAAACGGAUGAUUAAGCCCUUUGCUAGACCAAAAGAUAAGGCUAUUUUAGGACAAGGAGAAGGAAGUGUCCCUGGAUCCCUAAACAGAGAUGUCGUCUCUGCUCUUAACUCAGCAUCUCAGAUGCCAAAACCUCCUGUGGCCAACAUGGUGGCGCCCAGACAUCAAAGCUGAGCUUUCUUUGUCUCCGGCAGCCUGGGCCACUCCAGAGGUGUUAAAGCUCCAGCACUUCGAGCCUGCCUCGUGGGAAAGUCUUAGGCUGAGUCUGUAGGUGUCUGCAGUUAAGAAGCCAGCGGUCUGCAUAUGAUUGCUCAGGGGUGGUGGCUGGGUCCAACAGCAUUCACUACAGGCCUGCCUUGAAUACCACCUAGCGCAGUGCUCCGCAUAUCACAGGGGCUGGAAACCUAACAAUUUCACUUCCUAGACAACUUGCUAAAAGUCACCUAAAGACAGUCUGGUUACUGCCAAAGAUAUGCUUUCAAAUAAGAUUUGGAUAAAGAAGGGAGGUAGAUGCCUUUUUUCAGCAGUGGAGUGAUGUCUAGACCAGUAGAUGUACGCAUCUAAGUGAAUUCAUCACCAGCAACAAUUUCCAGAAACUUCCUGACCUCCAGAUUGCAGCUUCAUUAGUGUGAGUUUAAAGCCAACUAGAUGCCAUUCUCAGAUUCCACGCAUAUGGCCAAGGGUCCAG